AACACAUAAAAUUCACAUUGCUCUCCCAAGACCCAAGAACCAGCAAGGCAAUGAUGUUUUUCCAAUACUAUAUUUUUUUUUUCAUUUCCUUUUUUCAGAUAGGAACACAUGUAAACCAACAAACGACCAAUGACAGCAAAUACCAAUUGUAUUUCCUCUAAGAUACAGGUACUCUGAAUAGUAUUUAUCUUUUUACACCAUGAGUUACUGAGAGGAGGAACUGUGAUUUCAUACAAUUGUCUAAGGACCUAGUCUAAUGGAGACCAGAUUAUCAUCUCAAUACUUUGUUUCCAUAUUAAGCAGAUGUCAUGAAGACAUACUCUAUCCUCAAGAUACAGUACCGCAGCGGAGAUCUUUUAUUUUCCAUCUCAGAGUUACUACUCGACGGACUGCCAC